GUGAGGAAUAUUGGUCAAUGGACGAGAGUCUGAACCAGCCAAGUCGCGUGAAGGAAGACGGUUCUAUGAAUUGUAAACUUCUUUUGUGCAGGAAUAAAGUGGGUUACGUGUAACCUUUUGUAUGUACUGUACGAAUAAGGAUCGGCUAACUCCGUGCCAGCAGCCGCGGUAAUACGGAGGAUCCGAGCGUUAUCCGGAUUUAUUGGGUUUAAAGGGUGCGUAGGUGGAUUGAUAAGUCAGCGGUGAAAGUUUGCAGCUUAACUGUAAAAUUGCCGUUGAAACUGUCGGUCUUGAGUGCAAAUGAGGUAGGCGGAAUGUGUUGUGUAGCGGUGAAAUGCUUAGAUAUAACACAGAACUCCGAUUGCGAAGGCAGCUUACUGGGAUGCAACUGACACUGAUGCACGAAAGCGUGGGUAUCAAACAGGAUUAGAUACCCUUGUAGUCC
rnacentral:rRNA from 1 species